UACGUAGGGGGCAAGCGUUGUCCGGAUUUAUUGGGCGUAAAGAGCGUGUAGGCGGCCAUGUAGGUCCGUUGUGAAAACUCGAGGCUCAACCUCGAGACGUCGGCGGAAACCAUCUGGCUAGAGUCCGGAAGAGGAGAGUGGAAUUCCUGGUGUAGCGGUGAAAUGCGCAGAUAUCAGGAAGAACACCCGUGGCGAAGGCGGCUCUCUGGGACGGUACUGACGCUGAGACGCGAAAGCGUGGGGAGCAAACAGG
rnacentral:rRNA from 1 species